UUCAUCACCAAGCAAACAAGUAAAACUCAGGAGCAAGCCAGGCAGCGAACCGUGGCCAUGGCCUCAACGCAAUGCUACAGGAGCGGCAGCGAGACCUGCGAGACCAAAUGCCACCAGAACUCGUCACUCGGCCACAAGGUCUCUGAAAUGGUUGGCAAGGUCUUCCAUGGCAAUCAUCACAACCACAACCAGUCUCCCUGCCAUAACCAGACCCAGCAACCUCACCACCACCACCUGACUGGCACCGGCCACGGACACGGCCACAGCAGCGCUUGUUCAACUGAAUAUGGAAUGAGUCAAGAGAGGAUGGUCGUGAAGCUCAAGAAGAGGUCUCACUCUCACAACCACCGUGAUGGCAACCGUAGCUGCACCGACGACAGCAGCGGCAGCGACUCCGACUGAACCAUCAACUGCAAAAAAGAAUGAAGGGAUGUGGGGCAGUGCGGUGAUGAUCUAAUCAUAACAAGGUGCCCAUGGAAUUAAUGAGAAGUACGACUGAGUAAAAAUAAGUUAUUGCAAAUAAUUAAGCCACGUUUGUUGGCUUUUGGUGUGUCAUCUGUGUACUGUAUGGCGAAUAAAUUUAAUAAAGGUAUUGAGCAGUUAAUUAAAUAAAUCAAUAGCCACAAUAAUCAGCACUACCUAUGGCUCAUAUCACUAAGUUGGACAGGUCGAAUUGUCGUCUCAACAAGAAAGCAAUCCGAUUUAACCAUUUGACUGUUUUUUAUAGUUAACCUGAGCGGCUCUUAAAAAUACAGAGAAAAACUCAAAAUGUAGAAUAAUUGAAUUGUUUCACCUAUUUGUUAAUAUAAUAUAUGUAUAUAUUAUUUUUUAUUUAAUUAUUAUUUCAUCAUCCGGUCUCAUUUUUAAAACUUUUCGAUUCAUUGUUUAGUCUAAUUUUUAAACUAUUGGCUCAUAUUACAUAUAUGCUUCUUGAGAUGGGAACCAAGUACCAUAAGAUUUUCAAGUUGAAUCAUUAUUGAUUCUCAAUAUCCACGUUAAUAUAUUAGUAAGUAUUAAUAUAUGUACCACCAGUGAUUUGGAUCAUGUAGUGAAUAAAUUUUUGAUGAAAAACAUGUCCUCUAAAAAAUACUCACAAAUUAGGAUUUAAAUUCAGUUAUUGUACUUAAUAUAGGCAUUGAGUAACUGUGUCAUCUAAAACAUUAAAAUAUAAAUCAAUAAUUUAGAUAAAUUCACUCAUUUAUUAAUCUUAAGUGAAGUAUAAAUUUAUAAUCAUGAAUUUAAACUUUAAUGAUUUAAAUGGUACAGCAUUCAAUAUCUGUAUUAAGUACAGUCACCAAAUUUAAAUCUCACAAACCAUGAAUUGAUUUGAAUGAAAGACUUGCAAUGUGGGAACUUACCUUCCAAAAAUAUCAAUAUAUGUACUGAAGAAUUCAUCAUUUUGGGAGCAUAAAUGCACAAUACACUACCCUUCUUAUCAUUCAUAAAAUAUUGCUCAGUGAACAUAUCUAUUUUCUGAUGCACCCAAUAUUUAACAGAAAAGCAGAUUCAAAUGGUAGUCAAAUAAUAUUUCUACCAAUUAUAAGUAAAAAAUAAGGAGAAAAAUAAAAAAGAAUUUCAACCUCUAUAAUUCUAUAUAUUCCCUUCGUUAAAAAAUAUAAAUAUUUUUAAUAAAAUUUUAUCUCUUAAUAAAAUAGUUAUUUAUUUUCAAACUAACUUUAUAUUUUUAUAUUUACUUAUAUUUAAUAGAAUGUUUUACCUUGCAAUAAAUACAAACUAAUUUAUUUAAUAAGGUACUUUAAAAAAAGAUAAUAAUUAUACUUUAAAAAACUUAAAAAUAUCUUAUAUUUUUAAAUAGUUAAUCCCUCACAAAAUGUCUCAUAUUUUUUUAAUGGAAGAAGUACAUACAAGUGGCUUCAACUCUCAAAUAACAUGUCAGUGCCAAGAAAACAAGCAAAACCAUUUCCCCCCAUUAAUCAAGGCACUAAAACUAGAAUAGUUAUUAAUUAGUCUAGACUUCAAUUUAAAAAUUAAUUAAUUAUUAUGAUUACAAUUAAAAUUAUAAUCAAAUCGUUAUAAACAAAAUGUUUUGUUCAGUUAUUUUUACAAGUUUGCCCAUGUUGAUGUAAGAUCAUAUUAAUGCUGGAUUUGGAUUUUUUCCUUUGUAAAGGAUAGAAAAAAAAUCAGUACAGAUUUAACCUAUUAAAUUAAAUUUUAAAAUUUACAUUUAAUAAUUUUUAAAAAUGUAAAUUUAAUUUAAACAGUUGAAAUUUUUAAUGAAAUGAUAUUAAAAUUAAAAUUAUAAUCAAAUCGUUAUAAAUAAAAUGUUUUGUUCAGUUAUUUUCACAAGUUGGCCCAUGUUUAAGUAAGAUCAUAUUACUGCCGGAGUUGGAUUUUUCCCUUUGUAAAGGAUAGAAAAAAAAAAUCAGUACAGAUUUAAAUUAUUAAAUUAAAUUUUAAAAUUUACAUUUAAUAAUUUUAAAAAUAUAAAUUUAAUUUAAACAGUUGAAAUUUUUAAUGAAAUGGUAUUAAAAAAAAAAUAGAGAAGAGAAACUCACCCUGUCAUUGCUUGGGCCUUCGGCUUUUUACUACCGGCAGACCCAAGAAAUAGCGAAAUACUGAAUACUGAUAGCUGUUCUUUGCUUUUCAAAAUGUCUUUCUGAUCGCGCGUUUUACAUAUAUCCCCGCCAUCAUGUCCGUCGACCCUCGUUGCGACACCGCAGUCGCAACGGUUGUCUCAGGUGGCACUUCAUCUGUUGCCGCCGUCACAUCGACUGCAGACGCAGCCACCACUAUAAUGGUCGCGCCUUCUCGUCCAUUGACGACUUCACAACCAUCGUCGCCUAGACUCAUAUCUGCACCCCCUCAACAUCCUCCUUAUCCAAACCAACUCCAUUUCCCGUCGCAAUCCCUCUACACAGCCCAAGCGCUUCCUAUUCGGACCUCAAACCCUCAUCCCAAUUCUCAAUUGUUGUCCAUGCCCCAUGAUCAGCGAGGUUAGGAUAUGCUCUCACCCGUCACUUUUUCUGGUUGUGGAUUUGUUCCCAAAGGUAUCGGUUCCUUAUCGACGAUCAGAUCGUCACUGUGGCGAACAACGGUGGCUGUAGCUACCUCCCCCCCCCUCUUUUGUUUCCCCUUGGUGUUCGGGCUGGGGGUUCGCCUCAUUUCGGUUGUUUGAACCGUCCGUUGAUGACUAGGCUGCCCAAUUUACAAUAUCCUCGUCAGGGUUCGGCCGUUAACGGUGUCCCGGUCUCUUUACGUACGAAGGCUCCUCCUCGAACUACAAUUUCUGAUGGCAAUGGCUAUAAAGAUGGAAGGGACAAAAGCAGGGAUAGCAAUUUUAUAAUCGUCAAAGGUAGAGAGCUCACAAUAGCAGAGGAUGCUUCUCUGUAUGCACCAGCACUUUGUAGAUCAUGGUUGAGGAAUAUUACAUACGAAGAUUGGUAGGUUUGAAUUAUUUCUUGAAGCUUCUUAUAUAAGCAUUUGGCUUCUGCUUCUGUAUUCAUGCACGUAAUUCUGACUCACUAAGUCUUUCAUUAUAUGUUUAGUCAUAUUUUGUUUAAAUUCGAGGAAAAGAUGUUAUUGCCACUAACUGUAACUUUUUUGGGCUCUGGGGAAUAUUUUGACAAGCUCCUUUGGGACCAGAGAAAGUUUCAUCAACCUCAGAACCCUUUUGUAGCAUUCUAGGAGUGAGACUCUGUUGAGCAUACUCGAUGUGCCCAAAAUGGGAUGACUGGCCUUCCUAACAUCUUUUCCAUCAUUGGUCUUGUGUGGAUUGUGAUACUUCAAGGAGUUUUGGGUUUUCCCGGAAAAAGGAAAAAGCUGAGGCUAAAGUUUUGGUGUUUUCAUUUGUUGUACUGCAUGCAAUCUUAUUAAGGUUGCUGUGAUUUUUGAUUAAGUGUACGUCUGACAGAAGUUUUUGCUCUGUGGGGGUGAGUUCUUGCUGCACUAGUUUGCUAACGUCCUUGUUAGAUUGAGUUAAAAUUAAUCAAAGACUUUAGCCCUAGUGUAUCAGGGUUCCCUACCACGGAGAGAAACCUAAAUAGUGAAGACUUGUUGGAAGAAGGACAGGGGAUUACUCAGAAGUACAUGGAAGACUAGUCUUUCCUAAUAUAUUUAGCUGCAGGUACCACAGUAAGAUGUUAUAAAAGAACUUCCCAAACACUUGCCUGCAUCAAUGAUGGCUAGUUAUAUGUCAAACAAGAAAGUUGAAGAAGAGCAAGAGUUUUGCUUUCAGGAUGAGAAAUCUGAUGAAAACUUAACACUGCGGGAUGUAUUGCAGAUGCAUAUCAAACGUUCCAAAAAGGUCAGAGCAAGAUUGAGGAAAGAACGAUUGCAGCGAAUCUCAAGAUACGGACGCAGGCUUAACCUUCUGCUUCCUCCGCCUGCUGAACAGUUCAGAAAUGACACAGCUGCUGGGAACUGAGCUUGCUGACCCACAAACUUCAGGGUGAUCAGACUACUCAUUCAAGUUGUGUGUGGGUUCUUCAAGGGUGAAGUGCAUAAAUUGGUUGGGGAGCUGAUGAAUCUGGUGCAAAAAGGUGAUAUAUUUAUUAAGAUAAAUUUUUCUUCUCUGCAUUACUCCAACAAAGACAUGUGCCUCAGGCAUCAAAUGCAGGAGUCUGUUUUGGGAAUUAAUGGAGGGUUUAGAUAUUCUUUUGAUUUCGACUAUAGGUCUUCCUUCCCCGCUAAAAAAUCAGCGAUGCUAGCUAUGAUUUGAAUGAAUGUAGUCACUAAUGGCUGUCUUCCUAGAGUAAUAAUUAUAUUACCCUAGACUCGAGCCAGAUGAGUUUACCUUCUUGUAACUACAAUGCCUGUUUCUGCAAGGUGAUUAUAAACUUUUUCGAUAAAUAAUAGC